rnacentral:lncRNA from 1 species
GCUCUCGCGGACCUUUCUUUAAUGCACUUUAUGCAUUAAAAUCACCUUCGGANCCGGUCCCCGAGAGCAUUUCUGCUCCAGUGCAAGUUUUGCACUGGUGCUCUCGCGGACCUUUCUUUAAUGCACUUUAUGCAUUAAAAUCACCUUCGGACUUUUCGAAGCUUACGCACUCGACAACUGGUCGAUUCUAAUCGAAGUCUAAUCCCCGAGUUCCGAGGAUUCACUUCCUUACAUCCUCCUCACCUUAAAAGAGUUUCAUCCUCGAAACGAACUCAAUACUACCAAACUUAAUUAGAAUUCCAAAUUCUAAACUCAUACCUCUAUUUAACCUUCGAACAGGCGAGGAUGAUUCGCCUUCAUCUCCUCCUCGAGCUCCCAGGCGGCUUCGCGAUC